rnacentral:lncRNA from 1 species
CAACUGUACUCCAGGCUGGGCGACAGAGUGAGACCCUGGGAAGAAAGGAAGAAAGAAAAUGAUAUCCAUUUUUUUUCAGUUUGGAAAUUGUGUAGCUUCACAUAUUCUUUUAAUUCUUUGAUAGCACCUUAAUUAGUUAAUAUGCUCUAUUAGGCACAGAAGACCCAGUGCAAAUGAUAAUCUCUUCCAUGCAAGAUUAUGAUGCAGAGAGUGAAAUAAAACAAUGUACAUGGAGAGUUAUAGUGGAAUGUAUCUGUUCAGGAUAAGAGUUCUGCUGCUGAUCAUAGGCACCACACAGUACCUAUGUUUCCUUGGACAAGCAUGUUUCUUCACAUAUUAAAUGGCAAUCUAAUAAUUGUGUCAUAAAUCUACUUUGAAGGUAAAUACAUAUAAUGUGUCAAAUGCCCUGCCUAGCAGAGAGUAAAUGUUCAGAGUCAGUUUAAUAAUAGAGAUAAAGGAAAUAAUGAUGAUGGAAAUGGUAUUAACAACAGUAGUGUAAACAUGUCAUUGUAAGGAGUAUUGAGCAGAAGCACAUGUGAAAGUUGGAGCCUGGCUCUAAUGAAAGUCAGUCGGAACUCAAGUGCAGAAAAUGACACAGGUAUAAUCUAACUGGCAUUAUUCUGAUAGCAAAUUGCACUGUUAAAAAUGUGUAUAAAUCUAAUGCGCUUACUGAUAAGGUGAGGACUGUGACAUGACAUAACUAAUGAUUGGAUACAUAAAAUACAUCUAAACUUUUGUGUGAAUUUUCUGAAAUUAGUUCCAGGCCAGGGUAAUAACACUAUUAAUUAUAUGAAAUUAAUAACUUUAUUAAAAAUAAAUGACAGUGGUGGCAUAGGAGGCUUAAUUAGCCUAAAGAAGUGAAGGUUACAUAAUAAUCUCACUUUUUUGUAGCUAUUAAUUACAUUUACAUUUUGUCUUCGGUUCCACUGUUCUUAUCAAAGCCACUCAAAAAUAAGACUUGACAUGCUAAUUUCCAGUAACUAUUCCACUCC